rnacentral:rRNA from 1 species
UACAGAGGUGGCAAGCGUUGUUCGGAAUUACUGGGCGUAAAGGGCGCGUAGGCGGUCUUGCAAGUCCUGUGUGAAAUCCCUCGGCUCAACUGAGGAACUGCACAGGAAACUGCUUGGCUUGAGUUCGGGAGAGGGAAGCGGAAUUCCGGGUGUAGCGGUGAAAUGCGCAGAUAUCAGGAGGAACACCGAUGGCGAAGGCAGCUCGCUGGGACGGUACUGACGCUGAGACGCGAAAGCGUGGGGAGCAAACAGG